UCCCUGUUGCCAGGGCGGUCUAGCUAGAGAAAUCCAACUAACUAUAAGGGUUGCGCUCGUUGAUGGACUUAACCAAACAUCUCACGACACGAGCUGACGACGGCCAUGCAGCACCUGUCACUUGGUUCCCGAAGGCACCAACUGCUUUCGCAGAAGUUCCAAGGAUGUCAAACCUGGGUAAGGUUCUUCGCUUAUCGUCGAAUUAAACAACACGCUCCACCGCUUGUGCGGGUCCCCGUCAAUUCCUUUAUGUUUUAAGCUUGCGCUCGUACUCCACAGGCGGGAUGCUUAACGCGUUAGCUUCGCUACUAGAAGGGUCGAUACUUCUAACAGCUAGCAUCCAUAGUUUACGGCGUGGACUAC
rnacentral:misc_RNA from 1 species